AUGUUACCACGUUGCACCGGAGUUUUCACGUGUCCCUCCUAAAUCGAGCUCUUCCGAAUUUUCCUCUGGGGUGGUGGGCAAUGCCAGGGCCAGGGUUAAAGAGCAUUCCCCAAAGUUACCAGGAAGGUCCCGCAUCCUCAUAUACUCCCUCUGAAAGAGACAAGAAGCCCCUAGGAGAGAGAUGCUCUUCCUGACGCAGGCUCUGGGAUGCUGCUGUGCUUGCUAGACUGAAAGCUCACCCCCUCGAGAGAACAGGUUUUUUAAUGGCGAUAUGGAAGAUGGGACUCAAAGAGUUUGUUUUUCUUUCUUUUUUUAAAUAUUCUCCUUUUAUCACUUGCAAAAGGGCAGCUGAGGUUUUAAACUUGUGUUAUCUGCGAAACCAGGAUUUUUUUUUUAUUGUUUAGAUAUAGAUGUUUUGAUCAACAAGGUUUACAAAUUAUGCUACCAUUAAAAACAAAAACGACAACCAAGAAGUCAAAAUCAUCUCGCUAAUAGAUUUGUAAAGAAAUUGAUUCCCAUGAGCAGCUACAGUCCAAGUCAAUGAUAAGAGCAAGGGGCCCGAUUCUGCUUUCCUUGGUCAGAAAAUACGUCUGGAUCUACCCCUAGCUUUUUAUUUAUUGUUUUUAUUGUUGUUAAUAUCCCAGUCCGGGAUUUCCUCUUCACUGCUGCUCUUCUACCAGUUGGAAUUGCUGACCAUCCUGCUCCCAUCACGUUAUAUGUAAAAGCAAUACUAAUAAUUAAUAAUAACUCAUAAUAAUAAUAAUAAGAAGGCUGGUCUUUGAUGCUGAAUGUUUUCGGAUGAUUUUCAGAUUAGAAACACAGAAUAAAUGCUUAAGAGCCCCUUCUUGACUCUGCUCCCAGCAAGCAUCCUGUGGAUUCCUACAGGUGUAACCUGCCCCCUCUGCAAUGGUCCAUGCACAUAGCCAAUGACCGACCUAAGGGUACUUAGUAGAGGGUGGUCAGUAUUCCCCGUUACAAGUUCUUUUGCUGACCGUGGACUCAAACCUUAAGGCCCUAUCGCUUAGGCUCCCAAAGCUCCCCCUGAAGUCUUACUUCUGCUGUCAUUUACAUCAGAGUAAAUCCUCAGUGACUGCAGUGGAGUCAAACAAGUUAUUCUACUCCUAAGGAAAGUUUUGGCUGUGCAAAUUUGGAAGAUCGGGCAAUAUAGUGUUUCUAUAAACUGACGGGGUUACAAAAAACCCACAGAUACAUUUGUUGCACUAAAAAAACACCUCCAAGGGUUUAUAAUGCUUUUUUCAUAUACCCUCAAGUAAAUUAAAUCCUCCUUAAAUCUUCUCAAGUGCAACUAGAGACGGCAGCUAAUAUUAAUAUUACCAUUAAUUGAAAUGAUAAAGGUGUCUGAGUUAUUGGGAGUUUUCCUUGAGCUUUUUACAUGUAUGAUUUAGGACUGCACUCAGAAGCAAUCGUUUCUCUGUGUACAACUUACAGUACUGAUUCCGCGAUUCUUCACAUUUGCUGGAUGCCGUUAAUGCUGGGG